AGGAGAGUCGUGAGAUUUUGGCGGACGAAGGCAUCCACCGGCCCACCGUGCGCUUGCGUGAAACAUUUUUUCUUUUCUUUUGUCUGUCCGCUCCUCCACAGGCGUCCUCUGUCGCGUGCCCACUGCCCAAGGUAAUCGGUCCGCCACUGGAGCACCACCGCCCACGCCCGCGCUCUUCUUGGCCCUGCUCCUCAGGACGAGGCGAGCCGUGACUGCAACGUGAUGAUCGACAACGGCGGCGGCGCACACCCAACAGCGGCGGAGAACAGGGAGCUCCGGCAAUGGGGAACGCGAAUCACCAGAGAUGUUCCAGCAAACACAUGUUACACGGAUGGGAAACUUCUUGCGUUGGGGAACAAGAAGAUCUCCGAUGGGGAUUCGCGGCAGUGCAGAAGAGAAGAUGGUGUAUACCUUCUCCUUGGCUCGAUAAGCUCGCCCAGUAGACAUGACGGAUGGUGCGACGGUGGCGAUGGCCGAGAGUGGGGCGACGGUGGCGAUGCUUGUGUGUCUUCCGGAAUAAAUCUACACCACCUCAAAUAAUCUUGAACAAUUUGAAGGAUGAGGCGAAUUUAAUAUUGUACUUAAAUUUUAUGUUUUAUUUAACAUGAUAAAUAUUUUUUUCCCUAUCUAACUAUAAGUAUAAAUUUUAUGUUUUAUAACACUAUUAUUCAUUUUAAACCUAAAUGAUAGCUGAAAAGACUCUUUUACCCCUUAUGUAAUAUAUUUAUGUGUAUA